CCUACGGGAUGCAGCAGUGGGGAAUUUUGGACAAUGGGCGCAAGCCUGAUCCAGCAAUGCCGCGUGAGUGAAGAAGGCCUUCGGGUUGUAAAGCUCUUUUGUCAGGGAAGAAACGGUAGAGGCUAAUAUCCUUUGCUAAUGACGGUACCUGAAGAAUAAGCACCGGCUAACUACGUGCCAGCAGCCGCGGUAAUACGUAGGGUGCAAGCGUUAAUCGGAAUUACUGGGCGUAAAGCGUGCGCAGGCGGUUUUGUAAGUCUGUCGUGAAAGCCCCGGGCUCAACCUGGGAAUUGCGAUGGAGACUGCAAGGCUUGAAUCUGGCAGAGGGGGGUAGAAUUCCACGUGUAGCAGUGAAAUGCGUAGAGAUGUGGAGGAACACCGAUGGCGAAGGCAGCCCCCUGGGUCAAGAUUGACGCUCAUGCACGAAAGCGUGGGGAGCAAACAGGAUUAGAUACCCUGGUAGUC
rnacentral:rRNA from 1 species